GGCCGCAGUAUUUUGACUGUGCAAAGGUAGCAUAAUCAUUAGUUUUUUAAUUAAAAGCUUGUAUGAAAGGCUGGACGAGGUAGAAUCUGUCUCUAUUUAAAUUAUAGUAGAAUUUAAUUUUUAAGUUAAAAAGCUUAAAUAUUAUUAAAAGACGAGAAGACCCUAUAGAUCUUUAUAAUUUAUUAAAUGAAAUUAAUUUAGAAUUAUUUAUUUUUUAUUUUAAUAAAUUAUUUUAUUGGGGUAAUAGAAAGAUUAAGUUAAUUCUUUUUUGUAAUAAACAUUGAUUUAUGAAUAUUAAAUGAUCCAGUUUUAUUGAUUAUAAGAUUAAGUUACCUUAGGGAUAACAGCGUAAUUUUUUUAGAGAGUUCAUAUCGAUAAAAAAGUUUGCGACCUCGAUGUUGGAUUAAAGAUUAUUUUAGGUGUAGAAGCUUAAUAAUUUUGGUCUGUUCGACCAUUGAAUCUUUACAUGAUCUGAGUUCAGACCGGCGUAAGCCAGGUCGGUUUCUAUCUUUAAUAAAAUAAAAUAUUUUAGUACGAAAGGACCAAGUAUUUAAUAUAUUUAUAUUUAAUUUAUUGAAUAUUAUUAAAGUUAUAAUUAUUUUGGCAGAUUAGUGCAAUGAAUUUAGAAUUCAUUUAUGUAAUUUAUUUACAAAUAAUACUUGUUUUAUAUAGAUAUUGUUUUUUCUUUAGUAUGUAUAUUAUUAUUAAUUGUUUGUGUUUUAGUGGGGGUUGCUUUUUUAACUUUAUUGGAACGAAAGGU
rnacentral:rRNA from 1 species